UACGUAGGGUGCGAGCGUUGUCCGGAAUUAUUGGGCGUAAAGAGCUCGUAGGCGGUCUGUCGCGUCGAAUGUGAAAACCCGGGGCUCAACUCCGGGCUUGCAUUCGAUACGGGCAGGCUAGAGUUCGGUAGGGGAGUCUGGAAUUCCUGGUGUAGCGGUGAAAUGCGCGGAUAUCAGGAGGAACACCGGUGGCGAAGGCGGGUCUCUGGGCCGAUACUGACGCUGAGGAGCGAAAGCGUGGGGAGCGAACAGG
rnacentral:rRNA from 1 species